ACAGGACACUUCACACAGGGCACACUUCACACUCACAGGACACCUCACACAAGACACCUCACACGGGGCACACUUCACACUCACGGGUCACCUCACACUCGACACCACUCAGGACACCUCACACAGGGCACACUUCACACUCAGGACACCUCACACUCAGGGUGCACUUCAAACAGGUCAUUUCACCUCACACUCACAGAUCACCUCACUCUCAUAGGACACUUCGGACAGGGCACACUUCACACUCACAGGUCACCUCACACAGAUCAUCUCAUUCGCACAGGACACCUCGCUCUCACAGGUCACCUUACACUCAGAUUAUCUCACACUCACAGGUCGCCACACCUCACACUCAUAGGAUGUCUCACACAGGAUGUCUCACACUCACAGAACCACAUCUCAUAUGCACAAGACACCUCACACUCACAGGACACCUCAUGCUCAAGGAAGCCUCACACUCACAGGAGGUCCAGCUAUCUGAGGCAAAGGCUGACAUGACCCUUUCCAGACAAAUUGAGGAUGGUCAUGCCUAGCAUUUUUAUACACCUAGUUUUGAAAGCAUUUCUCGUCUGUUGUAUUCUCACAGCACCCCGUGAGUUUAAGUUCAGGUGGCCAACAGUUUCUUCAGCAAUCGCUUUUUUCUGUGGAGUGCUUUUGCUGUUUGUGGAAUAUUUUGCACCUGCUACUGCACCCUCUCCCCGUAUGUGUGGCCACCCUGUCAGAGGUGGAGCUGUGGCUCAGAGCCUGUGUACCUCGUCCCAGGUCCACAGCUCAGCAACAGAAGAGUCAGGGUUGAACCUCGGGUGUUCUGACUUGGGAGCAGGAAAUGUGUGGUCACCCAUAGUUCCAGAUGUCCUGGGGAGGGGCCAAGAUUAGAAGAAACCUACCUCAGCUCCAGAGGAAAGUCUGGCUUCCUGAGCCCACCCCGCCAGACCCAGGUCCAAGUCCCCCAACCCCGGUUCAUGGUGUGUCCAGUGCUUACCGCUGGGUGCUGUGGUGAAGGCGCAUCUCACGAGGCUUCCUCUCUUGUUCCCUCAGAAGCUGUUCUGGAUUUCUUACAGUGGUGAGUGGAUGAUCGCCACCAGUCCUGCCUGCAGCCCUUCUCAGCGUACUGACACCAGCCCACUCCACA
rnacentral:lncRNA from 1 species